GUGAAUCAUCAAAUCUUUGAACGCAAAUUGCACUUUCUGGUAUUCCGGAAAGUAUGCCUGUUUGAGGGUCAGUUAAAUUAAAAUCGGUGUUGUUGCUACCCGUAGUGGUGUGUGAUGCAUCGGAAUUGAGUCGUUCUUUACCUUUGGUUUAAGUACUUAAAAUUAUGUUUGAUUUUUUAACGUAUUUAAAUUAUUACUUUAGUUUGUUAUAUUAAAUA
rnacentral:misc_RNA from 1 species